rnacentral:lncRNA from 1 species
UAGGCGCGUGAUUCUCACCUCUUCUCUGUUAAGGCCACACUGAACUGACCAUCAACUAUGCGGGCCUCAGUUUUCCUAUUUGCCAAAAUAGCAGUACCUCCUUCUUCCCUGGGUGGUGAAGGCUGGACUCAAGCCAGACUCAGAGGCGAGGGGCAGCCAGCCAGCAAAAAGAGUCCCUCGGCAGCAAUGAUGAAGAUGGAUGUGUGAUUGAUUCGGCCCCCCUUCCCUCUGCCCUUCUGGUAGAAAAUUAAAAGACCAUUUGUUAAGGGGCGAAAGUCCUCAGGUUGCAUUAGGCCCCUCCUGCCAUCUCCUGGCUCCCUUUGUGUGUUCCGACUUCUUUCUGGGGCUGCCUCCUCUCGCAUCCCACAGGCAGGGUGUCCUGUUCCUCUCCACCCACCCUGACCCCUCUCCCCAUCUUCUCUCGGCCUCUCUGUCCACCCCAACAACACACCCACCCCAUCCCCUCUCUCUGCCCCCUUCUGAUGGCCUCUCACCCUCCUGGAGGCCGCUGGCUCUGGACACCCGACCUCCGUCAGGAUAUCACAAUAAGGACCCUGCCCCACCAGCGUGGACGCGGACACCCUUUCUGGCCACAGGGUAUCUGUCAAGGUCUUCAUCUUCUCCACUAGAGGACAGUGGCUGCAGUUUGCGCCUUGCUCAUUUCCAAUGCCCAGCAUGGUGACUGGUGCAGAGCAGGUGCCCAGUGAUGGUGUGUGCAAGCACCCCUUGAAAGGUUUCCUUUGCUGCUUGUGGGAAUCAAAAAACAUUAUCCCCAUUGGAGGGAUGGAAAAACUGAGGCUCACAGAAUGAGGCUGAGUUGCAUGGAUUGUUGGGGGCAGAGUUGGGAUUUGAAGCUGGGUCUUGACCCUCGUGACGGAGAAAAAGACAUUCGAAGGAAUGAAGGUCCAUCCAGCCCUAUGAUUCUAGAAAGCUCUCUGCUUUGGGAAAGAGAAAUCUGACACUAACCAGGGGCCAGAGGAACUAACGUCGCUAUGUUCUCAUCCAAGAGGAUGAAACAAGGUGGCCUUUAAACCCAGCUACUCUGGAGGCCAAGGUGGGAGGAUUGCUUGAGCCCAGGAGUUUCAGGCUGCAGUGACUCUGUCUCUAAAAAUAAAAAUAAAAAUAAAUAAAAGAU